ACACGCACGCCCGUCUCUGGGCGCGAGUUUCUGCGGUCCGAAGUAUAGCCCCACCCUGCGCGCGCGGAGGGGCCGUGUUUUGAAAUGCAGCGGGGUUUAGCGAGUUUUCCGCUGUCGCCAGCGGUGCGCGUGAAGCUGGUGACUGCGGGCUUCCAGACGGCUGAGGAGCUCCUGGAAGUGAAGCCUUCGGAGCUCAGCAAAGGCAGAGUGGACAGUGAGAGAGGGAGAAAGGUCUCCUUUGCCGUUGGUUCACCCUCCAAUGGCCGCCACGGCCGGCGCACCACGCUGAUCCAAAAGCAGGAGCCAGGUGCUCCUCCUGGUCUCCCAUGGGGUGCAGGACCCAAGCACUUGGGCCAUCCUCCACUGCACUCCCGGACCACAGCAGAGAGCUGGCCUGGAAGAGGAGCAACCGGGACAGAAUCCGGCGCCCGGACCAGGACUAGAAUCUGGUGUGCUGGUGCCGCUAGGCGGAGGAUUAGCCUGUUGAGCUGCCUGCUGGCCCAAGACUAGCUAAUCUUAUUCUCCGCUCCAAAAUUCCAAGGAUGAGAAUUCUUUGAGACAUGUAGGAUUCGUGUAGGUAGAGCCACUGAAUGAGAAAAGAAGUAGAAAGAAGACACCCCUUGUGUAAUUCACUGAAAAGACUAAAACCUUACAUUCUGAGCGCCGUGGUUGUAUGUAUUGGAGGGAACCACUGCAUCCUGUAAUGCUCUCGCUGUGCAUAUUGCAAUAUGGGAUGCCCAGACCUGCGCAUCUCCAUGGAAGAAGAUGAAACAGACUUCAAGCUAAUGCCCUUAACAGUGGGAGAUAAGGUUUCAGUUUACCACUGAACAAUAACUUGUAGACCCAACCUUAACUAUUUAAGUAGUCAUCCCACAGACUGUGUCCCCUAAAGUUUGAUGGGCUCUUUUUCUUUCAAUAAAUAGGGUUUCCGAAGAAGAAAUGAGAGACCCAGUAAUAGUUACUAGCAAUUAUUGAUUGUUUUGGAUGACAUUGGUAUUUAUCAAGCCUUUUUUUUUUUUAAUGUUUACUUACUUGAGAGGCAGAGUUACAGAGAGAAGGAGACACAGAGAGGUCUUCCAUCCGCUGAUUUACUCCCCAAAUGGCCACAAUGGCCGGAGCUGGGCUGAUCUGAAGCCUGGAGCCUCUUUUGGGUCUCUCCUGUGGGUGCAGGGGCCUAAGCACCUGGGCCAUCCUCUGCUGCCUUCCCAGGCUGUAGCAGAGAGAUUGGAAAAGGAGCAGCUGGGACUAGAACCAGUGCCCAUAUGGGAUGCUGGUGCUGCAGGUGGAUGCUUUAACCUACUGUGCCACAAUGCUGGCCCCUUACCAAGAUUUUUACGUGCAUUGUUUUCAUUUUUAUUUUACAAAAGAAAAAAAUGUGAGGUACAAAAAUUUAACAUAGUAAGUGGUGCAGUCAGGAUUUACAAUGUGAACAAUCUGACUUAAACGUGCUUUUUCUUGGGCAUCAACUUUAUUUGAAAAAGAGAGGAGGCUGGCAUUGUGGCAUAGCAGGUUAGGCCACAGCUUGAGAUGCCAGCAUUCUAUAUGGUCACCAGUUCCAGACCUGGCUACUCCACUUAACAAUUUAGCCCCCUGCUAAUGUGCCUGGGAAAGCAGUGGAAGAUGGCCCAAGUGUUUGGACCCCUGCACCCACAUGGGAGACCAAAUGAAGCUCCUGGCUUUGGUCUGUCACAGCCCCAGCUGUUGUGGCCAUUUUGGGAGUGAACCAGCAGACAGAUUUCUUUCUAACUCUUUCAAGUAAAAAAAAAAUUUUUUUGACAGGCAGAGUCAGACAGUGAGAGAGAGAGAGAGAGAGAGAGAGAGAGAAAGGUCUUCCUUCCAUUGGUUCACCCCCCCAAAUGGCUGCUACGGCCAACGAGCUGAGUCGAACUGAAGCCAGGAGCCAGGUGUUUCCUCUUGGUCUCCCGUGCAGGUGCAGGGCGGGCCCAAGCACUUGGGCCAUCCUCUACUGCCUUCCCGGGCCACAGCAGAGAGCUGGACUGGAAGAAGAGCAACCGGGACUAGAACCUGGGGUACCAGCACCACAGGCAGAGGAUUAGCCAAGUGAGCUGCAGUGCUGGCGAAAAAUAAUUUUUUUUAAAAGUAAGUUAUUCCAACUAUUGGUUCACUCCUCAAACACUUUCGUCAGUCAGGACUGGGCCAGGCUGAAGUCAGUAACCUGGAUUCAGUCUGAAUCUCUUAUGUGGGUGGCAGGGGCCCAAGUACGUGAGCCAUCACUGGCCACCUCCCAAGAUGUGCAUAAGCAGGAAGCAGAAUUGGAAGCUGAGCUGGACUCAAACUCAGGGACUCCAAUUUGGGAUGCAGGUGUCUCAGGUGGUGGCUUAACCUGCUAUGUUACCACUCUGGCCCCACUGUUACCUUUUCUUACUACCAAAAUUAUAGUUCAUAUACUUAAGUCAGUCACUGAUUUAUCAAACUGACAUGAUGCCAGACUCACCAUUGUUUGUUUCUGUAGCAUCUUUUCUGUUUUCAGGCCACAUUGUCAAAUAGAAAUGAAACCGUGUAGUUGAGGAGAAUAAAUAUAAUGUUAAAAAUAUUUGUGCAUUGGGGCCGGCGUCGUGGCACAGUAGGUUAAUCCUUUGCCUGCGGCGCUGGUAUCCCAUAUGGGCACCAGUUCUGGUCCCAGCUGCUCCACUUCCAAUCCAGCUCUCUGCUAUGGCCUGGGAAUGCAGUAGAAGAUGGGCCAGGUCCUUGGGCCCCUGCACCAAUGUGGGAGACCUGGAAGGAGCGCCUGGCUCCUGGCUUUGGAUUGGUGCAGCUCCAGCCGUUGCAGCUAUUCAGGGAGUGAACCUCAGAAGGAAGGCCUUUCUGUCUCUCCCUCUCACUGUCUGUAACUCUACCUCUCAAAUAAAAAUGAAUAAAAUCUUUAAAAAAAAUUUGUGCAUUGAAUAAUUGUUCUCAUUAAAAGUUUGGAGUGAUUUAGGAGUUUAUUUAAAAAAAUUUUUUUUGAGUUACAGAGAGAAAGGGAGAGACAGAGAUCUUCUAUCUGCUGGUUCACUCUCCAAAUGGCUGCAAUGGCUGGGGCUGGGCCUUGCCAAAGCCAGGAGCCUGGAAUUCCAUCCUGGUCUUCAAGUGGGUGAAGUUGGGAUAUCUAAAGAGGAAGCCUUAGAAACUCUGCAAAUUAUAAGAAGAGAAUGUCCUACAAAUAAACCAAGAUAUGCUGGUACAUCUGAGUCAGGCAAGAAGUGUACAGCAUUGGUACUUCUUGAACAGGAGCAUACCCAGAGCUUCAUAAUUACCUUCUGUUCAGCAGUAGCAUGCAGCUGGCAGUGGAUGUGCAGAUACCAGAAUGUUUUGGAGGAGUAGCAGGUGAAGCAGUUUUUAUUGAUACAGAGGGAAGUUUUAUGGUUGAUAGAGUGGUAGAGCUUGCUACUGCCUGCAUUCAGCAUCUUCACCUAAUAGCAGGAGCACACAUGGAAGAGGGUGGACACUGUGCAGUGAGUGAAGCUACCUCUUGUGUGGUGAGGAUCUUGUUCCCGUGUGGUGUCUGGAGGCCCCGGGUGCCUGACUUACAGGCAUGGCACCAGAAAACAUGAAAACUUGUUCCCGGCUGAACUUCCCCUGUACUAGUCCUUUCUGGACAAUUCCAUAUGAGAAGCAGGUGCUUGUAGAUAUAGGAGGCAGACGGUAGGAGUUUUCUCUGAUUCACAGCUGCAUGCAAUCUUUAAACAGUAAACUCUCAUGUCUGUAGAAAUCUACAUUUUUUGGCAAACACAAGGUUCCAUUCAUAUUUCUUAGGAAAAUAUCAAUAUUUUUGUAGAUUCUGUAUGCUUGAAUUGUUUUUCUUUUGUGUACUGAAAAAGGACAUUUUAAAUUAUCUCAAUACAAUUCAGGAUUGUUAAGUCAGUUGUAUAACUUCAUUUUUUUUAAACACAUUCUAAGGACAUUUUGUGUGUUUUAGAAUUUGUUAUGUGAAUUAAAAUUUUUUAUUUGAAAGCAGAGAAGCACAAAGACAAAAAAAAGUAUUUAAAUGUUAAACAAUUUUCCCACUAAAAUUACCUACUCAUUCACAAGAAAAGGGGACAUAUUGGCUGUGGCCAUGCAUACCGGCCGCAGCUCAGUGGAAGCUGAACUCGCUGGGUCUGCUGAUAUUUCCAUGGGUCAGCCACCUCGGAAAUCGCAUGCCAGAGGGGCCUCGGGCUUCCAGGGAUUUGGGGAGCCAUCCGGGAAGCCACCUUUGCUCUGGGAUUGGAAGUUGCUCGCAAGUGUGGUCAGUGGCAGGGUGUCCCUCACCAGGCUCUUGCUGCUUAAAUCUGGCAUUUUCCAAAGAAAUCGCUGCUCAGGGGCCAGCUAUCAGCAGAGCCACACCGAGCAUGCGGGCCAUCCUAGCCGCCCACUCGAUCUCCCAGGCCACAGAGAGUGCCCUAUGGUUUGACCUCAAGGUCCUGGAGCCAGAGCAGCUGAGGUCGGUAACACACGUGGCUGUCACAGGCGUGCUUCCUGCGUGAGCCCACUCCCCAUGGAAGCCUGCCCCUCACUGCUCACCCCUCUGCUAAUCCCAAUCUGUGUCCAUUCAUGGUGGCCCUGAUAAAACUGA